rnacentral:rRNA from 1 species
AUGCGCGCCGCGGGGAGCAUAGUUGGGGCGCCGGCAUGGGAGAGCCGCGCUGCUGGCCGUCCGGAGGAGCUACGGCGGCGCCAUCAGGUUCUGCACGACUGCGACAUUUGUAUCAGACACAAAGUUGACCUGGAGCGCGUGCUGCUUGAUGGAAGUACAGAGCCAACACGCCUGGCGCUAUCACUUUUAGAAGACAUCACAAACAGUUUUUCUGAUGAUGAGCAAAUUGGCAGCGGUGGGUUUGCGGUGGUUUAUAAGGGAAUGGUGGGAAAGGGGAUGGUCGCCGUGAAGAAGCUGCGCAACACAUAUGGUGAAUAUGGGAAACAAUUCUAUAAAGAGGUUGAGUGCCUAAUGAAGGUCAAGCACGAGAACAUAGUGCGUUUCUUAGGAUAUUGUUCCGACACGUAA